rnacentral:rRNA from 1 species
AUUGAACGCUGGCGGCAGGCCUAACACAUGCAAGUCGAGGGGUAUGGUUCUUCGGAACCAGAGACCGGCGCACGGGUGCGUAACGCGUAUGCAAUCUACCUUUUACAGAGGGAUAGCCCAGAGAAAUUUGGAUUAAUACCUCAUAGUAUAACAUGACCGCAUGGUCGAGUUAUUAAAGUCACACGGUAAAAGAUGAGCAU